CUUCCGUCGAACUUUACGUAUUUACAUUACAUACAGUAAGUAAUUCGUCUCAGACGUUUAAGACGUCUUCAGAUAUAAAUACAGCCAAUGGUUCUUUCGAGGAUCGUUACUUUCAGAAUUCUGUGGUACUCUUUACAAUGUACAGAAAGAAAACUACCCCCUCCCCUCGAAUUUCUUCUUUCUUAUACUAUAUAUACUGUACAUUCAUGCUGGGUAUCAUGCCGUUGAUGUUUAC